AGUGAACGCUGGCGGUAGGCCUAACACACGCAAGUCGAACGGCAGCACAGUAAGAGCUUGCUCUUACGGGUGGCGAGUGGCGGACGGGUGAGGAAUACAUCGGAAUCUACUUUUUCGUGGGGGAUAACGUAGGGAAACUUACGCUAAUACCGCAUACGACCUACGGGUGAAAGCGGGGGAUCUUCGGACCUUGCGCGAUUGAAUGAGCCGAUGUCGGAUUAGCUAGUUGGCGGGGUAAAGGCCCACCAAGGCGACGAUCCGUAGCUGGUCUGAGAGGAUGAUCAGCCACACUGGAACUGAGACACGGUCCAGACUCCUACGGGAGGCAGCAGUGGGGAAUAUUGGACAAUGGGCGCAAGCCUGAUCCAGCCAUACCGCGUGGGUGAAGAAGGCCUUCGGGUUGUAAAGCCCUUUUGUUGGGAAAGAAAAGCAGCAGGUUAAUACCCCGCUGUUCUGACGGUACCCAAAGAAUAAGCACCGGCUAACUUCGUG
rnacentral:rRNA from 1 species